ACGGCAAGUGAUGUAGCAAUACAUUACCUAGNAGUGACGUACGGGUGCGUAACACGUAUGCAACCUACCCAUAACAGGAGGAUAGCUCCCCGAAAGGGGAAUUAACCCUCCAUAGUAUAAUUGACUGGCAUCAGUUGAUUAUUAAAACUCCGGUGGUUAUGGAUGGGCAUGCGUCUGAUUAGUUAGUUGGCGGUGUAACGGACCACCAAGACGAUGAUCAGUAGGGGAACUGAGAGGUUGAUCCCCCACACUGGCACUGAGAUACGGGCCAGACUCCUACGGGAGGCAGCAGUAGGGAAUAUUGGUCAAUGGAUGCAAGUCUGAACCAGCCAUGCCGCGUGCAGGAAGAAGGCCCUAUGGGUUGUAAACUGCUUUUGCCAGGGGAUAAAAUUUCCUUGCGAGGAAAAUUGAAGGUACCUGGUGAAUAAGCCACGGCUAACUACGUGCCAGCAGCCGCGGUAAUACGUAGGUGGC
rnacentral:rRNA from 1 species